UAGGGAAUCUUCGGCAAUGGGGGGAACCCUGACCGAGCAACGCCGCGUGAGUGAAGAAGGUUUUCGGAUCGUAAAGCUCUGUUGUUAAGGAAGAACGAGUGUGAGAAUGGAAAGUUCAUGCUGUGACGGUACUUAACCAGAAAGGGACGGCUAACUACGUGCCAGCAGCCGCGGUAAUACGUAGGUCCCGAGCGUUGUCCGGAUUUAUUGGGCGUAAAGCGAGCGCAGGCGGUUAGAAAAGUCUGAAGUGAAAGGCAGUGGCUCAACCAUUGUAGGCUUUGGAAACUGUUUAACUUGAGUGCAGAAGGGGAGAGUGGAAUUCCAUGUGUAGCGGUGAAAUGCGUAGAUAUUAGGAGGAAUACCGGUGGCGAAGGCGACUUUCUGGACUUUUACUGACGCUCAGGUACGAAAGCGUGGGUAGCAAACAGG
rnacentral:rRNA from 1 species